CAGGUGACCUCAAAGCAGCAGCUCUGAAUUCGCCUCUCAUCUGACGACUGACCGCUGCUGCCGCCGCCAGCCUCUGUCCCCUUCCCAGGCCUGUCACACAGCUGCCUCUCAGCAGGGGCAGUAGAAUAAAAGAGGGCAUGUCUAAUAACAGCACCACUAGCAUCUCCCAAGCCAGGAAAGCUGUGGAACAGCUAAAGAUGGAAGCCUGUAUGGACAGGGUCAAGGUCUCCCAGGCAGCUGCGGACCUCCUGGCCUACUGUGAAGCUCACGUGCGGGAAGACCCUCUCAUCAUUCCAGUGCCUGCGUCAGAAAACCCCUUUCGCGAGAAGAAGUUCUUUUGUACCAUUCUCUAACUUCAUGUGUGAUGAAAACGCCUCCUUUUCUGACCUUCAAAGUCCCCUGUAGAGACCAUGCAUGCUCUAAGCCUUAGGGAGUGAGACCAACACCCAUCCCUGCCCAGCCAAUGGUGGCCAGGGCUUGUCUUAUGUUUUCGUCUGUUUUCUUCGUGGCAUUCAAUUUCAUUUUUUUCCUUUUCAUUUUCAUGUUAUUUUCAUUAUUGGCAAAGAAGAUCAAAAUUGUUAUAGCCAAAUAACAAAUGUGCCAUGUAAAAAUAAGUCUGGAGUUAAGAGUUUAAAAUUUUUAAACAUCAAUUUCCAAGUGUAUAUCAUAUUAAUACAUUUCAGGGGAUAACUUAUUUUAAAAAAAAAUGCCUACAUAGCUCUUAUUUGCAAUAUUCAGUAUCAAAUGAGAGCAUUUUGGCCAACUGAAACAUAUAACGUUCUCAUCUCCUUUCGUGGAGAAAGCAGUUGCAGAGGUUCUCUAGUUCCUGCAUUUCCAUCAUCCUAGUGAAAAGACAACCCACAGGAUUGGAAUGGUUUUCUUUUGUUUGUUGUUGUUGUUGUGGUGGUGGUGGUGGUGUUGAGACAGAGUCUCGCUCCGUUGCCCAGGCUGGAGUGCAGUGGUGCGACCUCAGCUCACUGCGACCUCCACCUCCUGGGUUCAAGUGAUUCUCCUGCCUCAGCCUCCUGAGUAGCUGGGAUUACAGGCAUGCACCACCAUGCCCAGCUAAUUUUUUGUAUUUUUAAUAGAGACAGGGUUUCACCAUGUUGGUCAGGCUGGUCUCAAAUGCCUGACCUUGUGAUCCACCCGCCUCGGCCUCCCAAAGCGCUGGGGUUACAGGCGCGAGCCACCGCGCCCAGCCGUGGAAUGGUUUUCUUAACGUAUCCUCCCGGGGCCAUGGUGGAUGUCCCUUGUUUCAGUGGUCCUGCAAAGAUAGAUGGUGGGCAGACACUGAAGUCAACUUGACUGUAAAAGUACCCCAUGCCGUUGAUAUGCUGUAGCAGACCUGUGGGUGCGGUCUCCCCUCUCCAAAUGCCACCUCUUCCUGCUCCCUCCUCUUUUGGUUCCUACUUAGUAGUUCCAUUGUGGGCUGCAGUAAUAUAAGCACCUGUUCUGGACACAGCGCUGGGCCCGCUGGGGUUUUACUAGGGCAGUCCCUCCUCUGCAGGAGUGAGUCAUGGUGACAGCAGCCCCCUGUGUGCCCCCUAGUCAUCUGAGCAUUGGUGUGCAUUAAGGUACUUAAUCUUCCAACAAUAAAUACCAUAAGUGCA